rfam:Schistosoma mansoni strain Puerto Rico chromosome 2, complete genome
AUCCAGCUGACGAGUCCCAAAUAGGACGAAAUGCCCAUCCUGGAU